ACGGGUGAGUAACACGUGGGAAUCUGCCCUUAGAUGGGGGAUAGCAGACCGAAAGGUCUAUUAAUACCCCAUAUGUGUAUGUCUCGACAGGGACAUAUAUGAAAGGAGUAAUCCGUCUGAGGAUGAGCCCGCGUCCGAUUAGCUAGUUGGUAGGGUAAUGGCCUACCAAGGCUUCGAUCGGUAGGUGGUCUGAGAGGAUGAUCACCCACAAUGGGACUGAGACACGGCCCAUACUCCUACGGGAGGCAGCAGUGGGGAAUUUUGCGCAAUGGGGGAAACCCUGACGCAGCAACGCCGCGUGGAGGAUGAAGCCCCUUGGGGCGUAAACUCCUUUCGACCAAGACGAUAAUGACGGUACUGGUGGAAGAAGCACCGGCUAACUCUGUGCCAGCAGCCGCGG
rnacentral:rRNA from 1 species